UCCCCUGUAGCUCAGUCGGUAGAGCAGUUGACUGUUAAUCAAUUGGUCGCAGGUUCGAGCCCUGCCGGGGGAGCCA
rnacentral:tRNA from 1 species